GAAUUCACUAGUGAUUCAGGCCUAACACAUGCCAGUCGAGCGGAGAUGAGGUGCUUGCACCUUAUCUUAACGGCGGACGGGUGAGUAAUGCUUAGGAAUCUGCCUAUUAGUGGGGGACAACAUUCCGAAAGGAAUGCUAAUACCGCAUACGUCCUACGGGAGAAAGCAGGGGAUCUUCGGACCUUGCGCUAAUAGAUGAGCCUAAGUCGGAUUAGCUAGUUGGUGGGGUAAAGGCCUACCAAGGCGACGAUCUGUAGCGGGUCUGAGAGGAUGAUCCGCCACACUGGGACUGAGACACGGCCCAGACUCCUACGGGAGGCAGCAGUGGGGAAUAUUGGACAAUGGGGGAAACCCUGAU
rnacentral:rRNA from 1 species